CCACACGCUCAUUUAUGUUUAACCAUUUGUGGUUCACAAAUAACCAUUUUAUCGUUUUUGCCCCCAAACUGCCGAUAUGGUUAUUUUUUAAAAAUUUUUCAAGCGACAAAAUCAACCAUUUUUGAAGUUUAAGCGCAUUAACCAAAUAUGGUUAAAAAUUCGAUAGCCAAAGCUUCGCCAUUUUAUUUUGGAAGUGAAAAACGACGAAGUUGUACGCGUUACAUUCGUUUUUAACCCAAGUUCAAUCUAGGCUUGGAUUCCACCGGAUUUGUUCAAACUUCUUCGACUGGAAGAUCCCAUUCUGUCAAAAGAAAAACAAAACGAAUCUUCCGUAUCGUCAUCGGCUCCGUCGUCAGCUUACCACGGGUUGGCCGGACACCCUAUCUGGGCUGCAAAAAAAAAACAUUUUCAGAUACGGAACGGGCACGCAUCGAUGAACAACCGGCAGCAAUCCCUCCGUCAAUCCGCGCUAAUCGCACAUAACUGCGGUAAACAGAAACCACCGGAAUCCGCGGUCGUCGUUAUCAAAGUCUCCGGAACCAAGUUCAACGGCAGAGGUGGUGGUUUUUUGAUCGAGCAAACGCACCUUCCCGUAUCGCAGGGAAGAGGAAAUGCGGGUCGAUUAGGAGAAAGUUGAACCGGGAGCUGUUCCGGUUUCGUUAGAGUACGACGGAUUAAAGUACAACAUGAACAGAAAUAAUGGUAUCGAUUCAUAUUCCCGAGAAACUCCGUGCAUAGUACCAUGGAAUUCCGGUACUGCCCACGGAGAAAAAAAUCAAGAUUGACGAGCCGGUCGACCAGCUGAUAUGUUUGCCUGGCGCAUGAUUGAGUGAUGAUGCCCAUCGUCGUCAGCGACCCUCGGAUUAGUGCUUCCCAGCCAUGACUUCACUCUGACACCCGUUUGCCACCCGCUACUACUCAACGUCAGCAGAAACAUUUAAAAUGGGUCUACCAAUUCCAGCAACAUAUGUAAU